rnacentral:rRNA from 1 species
GACGAAGGAUCCAAGCGUUAUCCGGAUUCAUUGGGUUUAAAGGGUGCGUAGGCGGGUUUAUAAGUCAGUGGUGAAAUCUCUUUGCUUAACAAAGAAACUGCCAUUGAUACUGUAGACCUAGAGUAUAGAUGAUGUUGGCGGAAUAUGACAUGUAGCGGUGAAAUGCAUAGAUAUGUCAUAGAACACCGAUUGCGAAGGCAGCUGACAAAACUAUAACUGACGCUGAUGCACGAAAGUGCGGGGAUCAAACAGG